AUGAACAAGCCUGGGAGGCUUGCGCUGGUGAAGUCUGUGCUGAGCGCCAUCCCCGUGCAUCAACUACUCGCCUAUGCGCCGCCUAAGAAGACGCUUCGUCAAAUUGAGAAGAUUGAGCGCGACUUCUUGUGGGCCGGCCGCGCUGCCGCCAAUGGAGGCCACUGCCAUGUCAACUGGCGCCGCGUUUGCCGCCCCAUAUCGUACGGAGGCCUGGGUGUCCAGGACCUGGAGCGCGCUGGCCUUGCUCUACGGCUACGAUGGCUAUGGUUCUCGCGCACUGACCAUGAGCGCGCCUGGAAUGGCCUCGACCUACAAUUCUCUGCCGAGGAGCGAGCGCUCUUCUUCGCGUCCACCACGAUGACCCUCGGAAACGGAACAACGGCAUAUUUCUGGGAAGACCGCUGGAUAAAUGGGCAAUCCAUUUGCGAGAUCGCCCCGUCACUUUACAAGUGCAUACCCAAGCACCGGCGCAAAAUCCGGACCAUCGCUGAAGGACUGCAAGGCCAUAGCUGGGCCAGGGACAUUCAUGGGACCUUGGGCAUACACGAGAUUGGCCAGUACCUUCAAGUCUGGCUGGCGAUCGAGCAUAUCACGCUCUCGGACACCCCUGAUUAG
rnacentral:rRNA from 1 species